UGAAUACGAGACGCUAAGGCGUCGAAGUAGUGUAUGUCAUACUUCCAAGAAAAGCUUGCACUGUCAUAAGUAAAAAAUGCCUGUACCAUAACCGACACAGGUGGGUAGGUAGAGUAUACUAAGGGGCGCGAGAUAACUCUCUCUAAGGAACUCGGCAAAAUAACUCCGUAACUUCGGGAGAAGGAGUACCUUAUUCUAUAAGGUUGCAAUAACAAGAUCCAAGCAACUGUUUAUCAAAAACACAGGUCUCCGCUAAGUCGUAAGACGAUGUAUGGGGGCUGACGCCUGCCCAGUGCCAGAAGGUUAAAGAAGUCGGUUAGCAUUAGCGAAGCUGGUAACUGAAGCCCUGGUGAACGGCGGCCGUAACUAUAACGGUCCUAAGGUAGCGAAAUUCCUUGUCGGGUAAGUUCCGACCCGCACGAAAGGCGUAAUGAUUUGGAUACUGUCUCGGAGAGGGGCUCGGUGAAAUAGACUUGUCUGUGAAGAUGCGGACUACCUGCACCAGGACAGAAAGACCCUAUGAAGCUUUACUGUAACUUGAAAUUGAAAUUGGACUUUAUUCGCGCAGUAUAGGUGGGAGGUGUUGAUUAUAAUCUUGCGGGAUUAUUGGAGCCAUCAGUGAGAUACCACUCUUGUAAUGUUAGAUUUCUAACUUUGAAUCAUUAUCUGGUCAAAGGACAGUUUCAGGCGGGCAGUUUGACUGGGGCGGUCGCCUCCCAAACGGUAACGGAGGCGUACAAAGGUUUCCUCUGAACGGGUAGAAAUCGUAUCUAGAGUGUAAAGGCAUAAGGAAGCUUGACUGUGAGACCUACAAGUCGAACAGGGACGAAAGUCGGUCUUAGUGAUCUGACGGUACUGAGUGGAAAGGCCGUCACUCAACGGAUAAAAGUUACUCUAGGAUAACAGGCUGAUCUCCCCCAAGAGUUCACAUCGACGGGGAGGUUUGGCACCUCGAUGUCGGCUCAUCGCAUCCUGGGGCGGUAGUACGUCCCAAGGGUUGGGCUGUUCGCCCAUGAAAGCGGUACGCGAGCUGGGUUCAGAACGUCGUGAGACAGUUCGGUCCAUAUCCGGUGUAGGCGUUAGAAUAUUGAGAGGAGCCUUCUUUAGUACGAGAGGACCGAGAAGGACAUACCUCUGGUGUACCAGUUAUCGUGCCAACGGUAAACGCUGGGUAGCUAUGUAUGGAGUGGAUAACCGCUGAAAGCAUCUAAGUGGGAAGCCCACCUCAAGAUAAGUAUUCUCC
rnacentral:rRNA from 1 species